rnacentral:ncRNA from 2 species
AAAUAUCUUCAGGGCAGGGUUAAAUUCCCGACCGGUGGUAAGCAGAUUCUGCAAGCCCACGAGCCGCAAGGCAGAUUUGGUUUGAUUCCAAAGCCGACAGUAUAGUCUGGAUGUAAGAAGAGAAAG